CCAGCAUUAAUCCUAUGAUUACUAAAAUGACCUCUAAUGGAAAUGCAGUCUGUCCCGAAGCAGACAUAAGCAUGGACAUGACUGAAGCUCAAACUGGCUACAUUUUGGAAGGGGAUGCAGGCACAGCUACAGAUGCCCGUCUUCAGGAUCUUUUUCCCACACAAAGCAUACACCCCCAAAGUGGUAAUGUCAGAAAAGCUGACUGGCAGAACAGUAAAGCAACUGUAUUAUCAAGCUGUAAAGGUAAAGAAAACUUCCUGAAGACUUCUGGAAACACAAAGGUGCAAAGACAGCAGGUUAAGCUUGAUGUGGAAGAUGACUGCAAAGAGAAGACAGUGGUUCCUGCUGAUGAUGCCCUUAUGGAAGUU